UACGUAGGGGGCGAGCGUUGUCCGGAUUCAUUGGGCGUAAAGAGCUCGUAGGCGGCUUGGCAAGCCGGGUGUGAAAACUCCAGGCUCAACCUGGAGACGCCACCCGGGACUGCUAUGGCUAGAGUCCGGUAGGGGAUCACGGAAUUCCUGGUGUAGCGGUGAAAUGCGUAGAUAUCAGGAGGAACACCUGCGGUGUAGACGGCUUACUGGACCAUAACUGACGCUGAGGCACGAAAGCGUGGGUAGCAAACAGG
rnacentral:rRNA from 1 species